rnacentral:rRNA from 1 species
GCGAGUGGCGAACGGGUGAGUAAUACAUCGGAACAUGUCCUGUAGUGGGGGAUAGCCCGGCGAAAGUCGGAUUAAUACCGCAUACGAUCUACGGAUGAAAGCGGGGGACCUUCGGGCCUCGCGCUAUAGGGUUGGCCGAUGGCUGAUUAGCUAGUUGGUGGGGUAAAGGCCUACCAAGGCGACGAUCAGUAGCUGGUCUGAGAGGACGACCAGCCACACUGGGACUGAGACACGGCCCAGACUCCUACGGGAGGCAGCAGUGGGGAAUUUUGGACAAUGGGCGAAAGCCUGAUCCAGCAAUGCCGCGUGUGUGAAGAAGGCCUUCGGGUUGUAAAGCACUUUUGUCCGGAAAGAAAUCCUUGGUUCUAAUAUAGCCGGGGGAUGACGGUACCGGAAGACUAAGCACCGGCUAACUACGUGCCAGCAGCCGCGGUA